AUUUGACCUCAAAUCAGGUAGGAACACCCGCUGAACUUAAGCAUAUCAAUAAGCGGAGGAAAAGAAAAUAACAAUGAUUCCCCUAGUAACUGCGAGUGAAGAGGGACAAGCUCAAAUUUUAAAUCUAUCGGGUUUUACCUGAUCGAGUUGUAAUUUGAAGAAGCGUUUUUUGCGUAUUUGGUCAGCCUAAGUCCUAUUGAAUGAGGCAUCAUGGAGGGUGAUAAUCCCGUCCGGUUGAUCAUUUGCGUUUUACGAUACGCUUUCUAAGAGUCAAGUUGUUUGGGAUUGCAGCUUAAAAUGGGAGGUAAAUUUCUCCUAAGGCUAAAUAACGGCGAGAGACCGAUAGCGAACAAGUACCGUGAGGGAAAGAUGAAAAGAACUUUGAAAAGAGAGUUAAACAGUACGUGAAAUUGUUGAAAGGGAAACGAUUGAAGCCAGUCGUACCUUCGGGUAAUCAGCCUUUCGGGUGCGAUUCUGUGGAGUGUGAGGAGCUUAAACACCUUCAUGUUUUGCAUAUUCGUACUCUUGGGUGUACUUGCCCGUGUGGUUGGUUAACAUCAAUUUUGGUGGUCAUAAAAUGACUGGGGGAAUGUAGCUUCGAUCUUGUAUUGAAGUGUUAUAGCCUUCGGUAGAUGUGAUGAUCGAGAUUGAGGAUUGCAACGGAUACCCUUUGGGGCUACCUGUCUGAUCUCUGAUCGUUGCUUUGGUGCCGAAAGCUUGCUUACGGUUAUCAAAGUCGAUGGUCAAUAGGUUAGAACGGGUUAAAUUCGUUAAGGAUGUUGACGUAAUGGUUUUAAACGACCCGUCUUGAAACACGGACCAAGGAGUCUAACAUAUAUGCGAGUGUUAGGGUGAUUAAACCCUUACGCGUAAUGAAAGUAAUUUUGGUGGGAACACUUUUGUGCACCAUCGACCGAUCAGGAUAUUUUUUGAUAGAUUUGAGUAAGAGCAUAUCUGCUAGGACCCGAAAGAUGGUGAACUAUGCCUGAAUAGGGUGAAGCCAGAGGAAACUCUGGU
rnacentral:rRNA from 1 species